CCCGCUGAACUUAAGCAUAUCAAUAAGCGGAGGAAAAGAAACUAACAAGGAUUCCCCUAGUAACGGCGAGUGAAGCGGGAAGAGCUCAAAUUUAAAAUCUCCUGCAAAGGCGAAUUGUAGUUUAGAGAAGUAUUUUCGGGAGGAGAACCAGGGUUAAGUCUCUUGGAAUGGGGCAUCAUAGAAGGUGAGAAUCCUGUGUGUGCUCUGGGAUCGACUUCCAUGUGAUAUACUUUCGACGAGUCGGGUUGUUUGGGAAUGCAGCCCAAAAUGGGUGGUAAAUACCAUCUAAAGCUAAAUAUUGGCGAGAGACCGAUAGCGAACAAGUACCGUGAGGGAAAGAUGAAAAGAACUUUGAAAAGAGAGUUAAAAGUACGUGAAAUUGUCAAAAGGGAAACACUUGAAACCAGUCUUGGGAUCAGGAUCUCAGUUGUUCCAAACGAAUGACGCAUGUUCCUGAUUACAGGUCAAUAUCAGUUUCGCGAUGAGGUAAAAAAUGGAAGGAAGGUGACCCGCAAGGGAGUUUAUAGCCUUACAUGAUGCCUUGUACGAGAUUGAGGUAGGCAGUGCAGUCUUGGGUACCUGAUGGCUAAUUUCAAAUUUUGUAUGGACAACGUGUUGAUCAUGCAAGAGGAGAGGUUAAUCUGUUAGUUUGCCACACCUGUGCUUAGGAUAUUGACAUAAUGGUUUUAAAUGACCCGUCUUGAAACACGG
rnacentral:rRNA from 1 species